GGGCGUGUGGCUCAGUUGGUAGAGCGUUCGCUUAGCAUGCCCACCGCAUGCGAAAGGUCCUGGGUCCGGUUCCCAGCUCGUCCA